GUAAGAAUUAUUUGGAAGUUUUGCUCUUGUACAAAAAGUUUAUACUCAUAUAUGUAUAAAAUUUUCAUCAUAAUGCAUGAAAAAUUAUUAAGUUCUCAUUUGAGUAAUUAAUACUCUUUUUACAACUUUUUGGCUAAAAUAAAAACGUUAGCAGGAAACGAUAAAAAAGGAACAAUAGUAAAAAACCGAAAAAAAACAUUAUGUUGCAUUAAUUAGACAUGCAGUAUAGAGGGUAUAAAGAGAAAAAAUAAACAAAUAGAAUAUAAUAUAAUAUUUGAGGCUAUAUUUUGUCACGUCUAAUUUUCAAGGUUAUAUGUUGAGCGUUUUAGAUUGGAGUUGAGCGUUUUCAAGGGUAUAAAGAGAAAAAAUAAACAAAUAGAAUAGAAUUAGUUGAGCGUUUUAGAUUGGAGUUGGUCUUGCGUAUAAUCAGUUGUACCGUACAAUCAGGUUGCACCUUGACCCAUUUCCUGACCCGAAUCCGCAUUCUGAUCCGAACCGUGUAAAUGACACUAUUUGGUUAUACAAAUGACACUGUCUGUAAUUGACAUUAUUCGAUUAUACAAAUAACACUACGUAUAAAUGGCAUCAUUAAAUAUAAUAAGAAGUGGCUCAAGACAAGUGCCUAAGCGGCCUUUUUAGUAUAUAUGAGGCAAUUUAUAGUAAAUUUAGUCUUCUUAAUUAACUCUCAAAAUUAUUAGAAUCGUUCACUCUUUUGGAUUUGGUUAGUUUUAUUUCAUUUUCUCUUAUAAAAAAUGGUUAAGAGCCAAAUAUCAAAACCAAAAAGUAGCAGUACUCAUAAAAAGGAUCACAAGAUUCACAACUGCCGUGUAAUAUUGUUACACGUUCUUUUGGAUAAAUUACUUAUUUUGGAUAAAAUAUGAAAAAAUAAAAUUGGGUUGGAAGACACAUUAUUUUUGAGGAGUUUAUAAAGUUGUUCACGAGCUUAAUUUGGCCAAAUAUUUUGAAUGAACGCUUAUAAUCUCCUAAACAGUUUAUAAGCUCGGCUAAACACGCUAAUUAUUAUAUAUAAAUCUAAAGUGAAGGCAAUAUUUCAACUAAUAAUUAGUACGAUGUUGUCUGUCUCGAGAGUGAUUGUAGUUGUAACAAUCUUCGCCGCCAUAUCUGCAAGCCAUGCAAGAGAAUUUCCAGGUUAUGCAGAUAAUGUUGGCGUUACAGGAAAGUGCUUUUCUAAAGGACUAGACGGUGAUGAUUCAAUAAUAUCACUACCUAGAUUGGGAAAUAUUAAUAUUUCCCGACCACCGUUACCGUCACCUCCACCACCUAGAUCACCUCCGGGACCCCACUCCCGCUUCGACUUCUCCGAUAAAUUCCUCCAAGAAGCUCUUCUUCAGAAAUUUCUUCAUUAAUAUAUGUUUAUCAAGUUGUGUAGGAUUUAGUAUUAUGUUUUGGUAGUUUGUGAAUUUGUCAAUGUGCUCAAACUGCUGGUCUAGCUAUAUGUUACAUUAAAAAUGUGUGUGUGUGUGUGUGUGUUGAAAAUUGUGUAUGUUUGAAUGUUAUGUGUAUGUUGAAAAUGAUGUAUCACCAACACUUAAUUUGUAAUUAAGUGUUAGUUAUCCCAGACUCUCAGCAUGGUUUUAUAUUAAUGAAUAAAGUUAUUUAUUAAUU